rnacentral:rRNA from 1 species
GAUGAACGCUGGCGGCGUGCCUAAUACAUGCAAGUCGAGCGAACAGACGAGGAGCUUGCUCCUUUGACGUUAGCGGCGGACGGGUGAGUAACACGUGGGUAACCUACCUAUAAGACUGGGAUAACUUCGGGAAACCGGAGCUAAUACCGGAUAAUAUUUCGAACCGCAUGGUUCGAUAGUGAAAGAUGGAUCUGCUAUCACUUAUAGAUGGACCUGCGCCGUAUUAGCUAGUUGGUAAGGUAACGGCUUACCAAGGCAACGAUACGUAGCCGACCUGAGAGGGUGAUCGGCCACACUGGAACUGAGACACGGUCCAGACUCCUACGGGAGGCAGCAGUAGGGAAUCUUCCGCAAUGGGCGAAAGCCUGACGGAGCAACGCCGCGUGAGUGAUGAAGGUCUUCGGAUCGUAAAACUCUGUUAUUAGGGAAGAACAAACGUGUAAGUAACUGUGCACGUCUUGACGGUACCUAAUCAGAAAGCCACGGCUAACUACGUGCCAGCAGCCGCGGUAAUACGUAGGUGGCAAGCGUUAUCCGGAAUUAUUGGGCGUAAAGCGCGCGUAGGCGGUUUUUUAAGUCUGAUGUGAAAGCCCACGGCUCAACCGUGGAGGGUCAUUGGAAACUGGAAAACUUGAGUGCAGAAGAGGAAAGUGGAAUUCCAUGUGUAGCGGUGAAAUGCGCAGAGAUAUGGAGGAACACCAGUGGCGAAGGCGACUUUCUGGUCUGUAACUGACGCUGAUGUGCGAAAGCGUGGGGAUCAAACAGGAUUAGAUACCCUGGUAGUCCACGCCGUAAACGAUGAGUGCUAAGUGUUAGGGGGUUUCCGCCCCUUAGUGCUGCAGCUAACGCAUUAAGCACUCCGCCUGGGGAGUACUACCGCAAGGUUGAAACUCAAAGGAAUUGACGGGGACCCGCACAAGCGGCGGAGCAUGUGGUUUAAUUCGAAUCAACGCGAAGAACCUUACCAAAUUCUUGACUUCCUCCCACCCUUCUAGAGAUAUAACUUUCCCCUUCGGGGGACAAAGUGACAGGUGGUGCAUGGUUGUCGUCAGCUCGUGUCGUGAGAUGUUGGGUUAAGUCCCGCAACGAGCGCAACCCUUAAGCUUUAUCUGCCAUCAUUAAGUUGGGCACUCUAAGUUGACUGCCGGUGACAAACCGGAGGAAGGUGGGGAUGACGUCAAAUCAUCAUGCCCCUUAUGAUUUGGGCUACACACGUGCUACAAUGGACAAUACAAAGGGCAGCGAAACCGCGAGGUCAAGCAAAUCCCAUAAAGUUGUUCUCAGUUCGGAUUGUAGUCUGCAACUCGACUACAUGAAGCUGGAAUCGCUAGUAAUCGUAGAUCAGCAUGCUNCGGUGCCUCCGUUAAGGGGUCU